rnacentral:rRNA from 1 species
GUCUCUCUUGAGUGGAUCCUGAGUACGACGGAGCACGUGAAAUUCCGUCGGAAUCUGGGAGGACCAUCUCCUAAGGCUAAAUACUCUCUAGUGACCGAUAGUGAACCAGUACCGUGAGGGAAAGGUGAAAAGCACCCCGGAAGGGGAGUGAAAUAGAACCUGAAACCGUGUGCUUACAAGUAGUCAGAGCCCGUUAAUGGGUGAUGGCGUGCCUUUUGUAGAAUGAACCGGCGAGUUACGAUUUGAUGCAAGGUUAAGCAGUAAAUGUGGAGCCGUAGCGAAAGCGAGUCUGAAUAGGGCGUUUAGUAUUUGGUCGUAGACCCGAAACCAGGUGAUCUACCCUUGGUCAGGUUGAAGUUCAGGUAACACUGAAUGGAGGACCGAACCGACUUACGUUGAAAAGUGAGCGGAUGAACUGAGGGUAGCGGAGAAAUUCCAAUCGAACCUGGAGAUAGCUGGUUCUCUCCGAAAUAGCUUUAGGGCUAGCCUCAAGUGAUGAUUAUUGGAGGUAGAGCACUGUUUGGAC